rnacentral:tRNA from 1 species
AGAAAAGUAAGCUAAUUCAAGCUAAUGGGUUCAUACCCCAUAAAUAGAGUAAACAACUCUCUUCUCUG